UCUUCCGCAAUAGACGAAAGUCUGACGGAGCAACGCCGCGGGAGUGAUGAAGGUUUUCGGAUCGUAAAGCGCUGUUGUUAGGGAAGAACAAGUGCCGUUCAAAUAGGGCGGCCCCUUGACGGUACCUAACCAGAAGGCCACGACUAACUACGUGCCAGCCGCCGCGGUAAUACGUAGGUGGCAAGCGUUGUCCGGAAUUAUUGGGCGUAAAGGGCUCGCAGGCGGUUUAUUAAGUCUGAUGUGAAAGCCCCCGGCUCAACCGGGGAGGGUCAUUGGAAACUGGGGAACUUGAGUGCAGAAGAGGAGAGUGGAAUUCCACGUGUAGCGGUGAAAUGCGUAGAGAUGUGGAGGAACACCAGUGGCGAAGGCGACUCUCUGGUCUGUAACUGACGCUGAGGAGCGAAAGCGUGGGGAGCGAACAG
rnacentral:rRNA from 1 species